rnacentral:rRNA from 1 species
AGUGAACGCUGGCGUUAGGCCUAACACAUGCAAGUCAAACGGCAUCACAGUAAGAUCUUGCUCUUACGGGUGGCGAGUAGCGGACGUGUGAGGAAUACAUCGGAAUCUACUUUUUCGUGGGGGAUAACGUAAGGAAACUUACGCUGAUACGGCAUUCGACCUACGGGUGAAAGCGUGUGUUCUUCGGACCUUGCGCGAUCGAAUGAGCAGAUGUCGGAUUAGCUAGUUGGCGGGGUAAUGGCCCACCAAGGCGACGCUCCGUAGCUGGAGUGAGAGGAUGAUCAGCCACACUGGAACUGAGACACGGUCCAGACUCCUACGGGAGGCAGCAGUGGGGAAUAUUGGACAAUGGGCGCAAGCCUGAUCCAGCCAUACCGCGUGGGUGAAGAAGGCAUUCGGGUUGUAAAGCCCUUUUGUUGGGAAAGAAAAGCAGCAGGUUAAUACCCCGCUGUUCUGACGGUACCCAAAGAAUAAGCACCGGCUAACUUCGUG